rnacentral:tRNA from 1 species
UCCCCGGUGGUGCAAUUGGUAGCACACCAGACUUUGGAUCUGGGAGUUGGAGGUUCGAGUCCUCCCCGGGGAACCA